CUCAUUUGCACGACCACACUUGAAGCUGUUCAAGGGUCCUGGAGUGUUGCAAACAUUUUUGAGGCAAGCUGACACCAUGAUCUAUCAACGCUUCAUGCUUCUGGCACUUGUAGUGCUCCUGUCCAUCACAUAUGAUGCCAAUGCCGCUGUUGCAUUUCCCUGGGGCUGUACCGACUACAAAGGCGUCUGCAGACGCUUCUGCCUCCCUGCAGAAUUCCCAUUUGCAAUCUUCAAGUGCGGAGGUGCUGGAUUUAUAUGCUGCCUCUCACAUAUUUAAACAACAUGGAGAGUCACAUACUCUCAGUUAGUAGUCUCGCUUCAUUUUGAAUACUCUUGUGAUUCCAAUAUACCAAGGGGACCCGAUCGGCACAUGCGCCAGUGUCAGCAGGCCUUCCUGUACACAUGUCCCCUCCACUGAUGGAUUAGUUCCUUACUGAUGUCCCAGGCAUGCGGGGCUGCAGGAGUAAACUCAUUUAAAAUAUAUUUUCUUUUUAACUACCUCUUCUUUAAAGACAAAAAAAUCCCCGAAACUGUGACAAAAGAGUGUACUGUGAAUGCACGAUUGAGCUUUACAGUUACAAAAUUCUCCUUUUAAAAAAAAUAACACAUGAAGUAACAAAUGAAACAAUAAAAGCAAACUAUAAUUCAAGUUCA